UACGUAGGGGGCUAGCGUUGUCCGGAUUUAUUGGGCGUAAAGGGUGCGUAGGCGGCGCGGUAAGUCGGAUGUGAAAUCUCGGAGCUUAACUUCGAAACUGCAUUCGAUACUGCCGUGCUUGAGGACUGGAGAGGAGACUGGAAUUUACGGUGUAGCGGUGAAAUGCGUAGAUAUCGUAAGGAAGACCAGUGGCGAAGGCGGGUCUCUGGACAGUUCCUGACGCUGAGGCACGAAGGUCAGGGGAGCAAACGGG
rnacentral:rRNA from 1 species